GAUGAACGCUAGCGGGAGGCUUAAUACAUGCAAGUCGAGGGGUAACAUUAGUGCUUGCACUAGAUGACGACCGGCGCACGGGUGAGUAACGCGUACACAACCUACCUUCAAGAGGGGGAUAGCCUAUGGAAACGUAGAUUAAUACCCCAUGUGAUUGCUUAUGUAAGAUUAGUAAUUAAAGUUCCGGCGCUUGAAGAUGGGUGUGCGUCCCAUUAGUUAGUUGGUAAGGUAAUGGCUUACCAAGACGAUGAUGGGUAGGGGGCGUGAGAGCGUGACCCCCCACACGGGUACUGAGACACGGACCCGACUCCUACGGGAGGCAGCAGUAAGGAAUAUUGGACAAUGGAGGCAACUCUGAUCCAGCCAUCCCGCGUGAAGGAUGACGGCCCUAUGGGUUGUAAACUUCUUUUGUAUGGGAAGAAUGGCCGACAUUUAUGUUGGUUUGACGGUACCAUAAGAAUAAGCACCGGCUAACUCCG
rnacentral:rRNA from 1 species